AGAGUUUGAUCCUGGCUCAGGAUGAACGCUGGCGGCGUGCUUAACACAUGCAAGUCGAACGGAGAGCCUCGAGUAAUUUAUUACGAGGAUUCUUAGAGUGGCGGACGGGUGAGUAACACGUUGGUGACCUACCCCAAAGAGGGGGAUAACCAUUGGAAACGAUGGCUAAUACCCCAUGUGGUCCAGAGAUUUGGAUGUCUCUUGACUAAAGCUCCGGCGCUUUGGGAGGGGCCUGCGGCCCAUCAGCUAGUUGGUAGGGUAACGGCUACCAAGGCAAAGACGGGUAGGGGGCGUGAGAGCGUGACCCCCCACACUGGCACUGACAUACGGGCCAGACUCCUACGGGAGGCAGCAGUGACGGAAUAUUGCACAAUGGGCGAAAGCCUGAUGCAGCAACGCCGCGUGGAUGAAGAAGGCCUUCGGGUUGUAAAAUCCUUUUCUGGAGGAAGAGGAAGGACGGUACUCCAGGAAUAAGCGUCGGCUAACUACGUGCCAGCAGCCGCGGUAAAACGUAGGACGCAAGCGUUAUCCGGAUUUACUGGGCGUAAAGCGCGUGCAGGCGGCACGGUAAGUCGGACGUGAAAGCUCCUGGCUCAACUGGGAGAGGUCGUUCGAAACUGCCGAGCUUGAGGACGGUAGAGGAGAGUGGAAUUCCGGGUGUAGUGGUGAAAUGCGUAGAUAUCCGGAGGAACACCAGUGGCGAAGGCGGCUCUCUGGGCCGUUCCUGACGCUCAGACGCGAAAGCUAGGGGAGCGAACGGGAUUAGAAACCCCGGUAGUCCUAGCCGUAAACGAUGGAGACUAGGUGUGGGGAGUAUUAACCUCUCUGUGCCGUAGCUAACGCGUUAAGUCUCCCGCCUGGGGAUUACGACCGCAAGGUUAAAACUCAAAGGAACUUGACGGGGCCCCGGCACAAGCAGCGGAGCGUGUGGUUUAAUUCGAGGCUACACGAAGAACCUUACCAGGGCUUGACAUGUACGUGGUAGAGAUCCGAAAGGUGAUCGACCCUUCGGGGAGCGUACACAGUUCUGNCAUGGCUGUCGUCAGCUCGUGCCGUGAGGUGUUAGGUUAAGUCCUGUAACGAGCGCAACCCUUGCCGCUAGUUAUACGUGUCUAGCGGGACUGCCCGGCUCAACUGGGAGGAAGGUGGGGAUGACGUCAAGUCAGCAUGGCCCUUAUGUCCGGGGCUACACACACGCUACAAUGGCCGGUACAAUGGGUAGCUAAGCCGCGAGGCGGAGCCAAUCCUAAAAAGCCGGUCUCAGUUCAGAUUGUAGGCUGCAACUCGCCUGCAUGAAGUCGGAGUUGCUAGUAAUCGCGCGUCAGCAAUAGUGCGGUUGAAUACGUUUCCGGGGCUUGUACACACCGCCCGUCACGUCAUGGGAGCUGGUAACACCUAAAGCCGGUGGGCUAACCGAAAGGAAGCACCGUUUAAGGUGGGACUGGUGACUGGGACGAAGUCGUAACAAGGUAGCC
rnacentral:rRNA from 1 species